CAGUCGCCGCGGGAACACGGAGGGGGCUAGCGUUGUUCGGAAUUACUGGGCGUAAAGCGCACGUAGGCGGCUUGGUAAGUUAGAGGUGAAAGCCUGGAGCUCAACUCCAGAAUUGCCUUUAAGACUGCCGAGCUAGCAGGUGAGAGAGGUAAGUGGAAUUCCGAGUGUAGAGGUGAGAUUCGUAGGUAUUCGGAAGAACACCAGUGGCGAAGGCGGCUUACUGGCUCAUACUGGACGCUGAGGUGCGAAAGCGUGGGGAGCAAACAGGAUUAGAUACCCCUGUAGUCCCUGUCUCUUAUAU
rnacentral:rRNA from 1 species